CUGACCAUCAUCAUCUCGGUACAGUUGCAUAUUCAUGAGGUUCAUUGGAUAGCUACGGUACUUCCAGUGAAUUCAAAGUACAAUUAAGCUUGUAGCCAUUAAAAAUUCAGCAGUAGCCGGCUCAACUCAUAAUACGGUACUGAUGGUGAGUCUCUACUUUUCAACCAUCCAACCAUCCAAACAUCCAACCAUCCAGCAGCAGACUGCUACGGUAGACACAAGUAUGCCGCAAACGCCAAGUCCUUGCUAGAUAACAAGACGUUUGAUGGACGUUGCUAUACUCCUGGGGGAUAAACAGUAAGAAGGGAAGAAGGGAAGAAGGAAAGAAGCGAGAAACGAGGGACGAAGGAUGAGGGUUGAUGAAAUUGCUAAAUGGGUCAGGUAUUCUUUAGCUCUUUUCCUCCUCACCUAUCUCUUUUGUUUCUCUUUCUUCUCAUCCAACCGUCUUCAGGGAUUUGUAUUGUUUUUACUUUUUAAUAAUAUACUUUUAU
rnacentral:lncRNA from 1 species